GUGUGUUUGGUCUAGUGGAAUUAUCUUGCUUUGGGUGCGAGAGGUUCUGAGUUUGAUUCUCGUAAUGCCCC
rnacentral:tRNA from 7 species